rnacentral:rRNA from 1 species
GUCGCGAAUCUUCCACAAUGGGCGCAAGCCUGAUGGAGCCAUGCCGCGUGCAGGAGGACGGCCUUCGGGUUGUAAACUGCUGUCGAGGGAGGGGAAUGACUGCAUGUGAAUAGCGUGUAGUUUGACUGCUCCCUGGAGGAAGCACCAGCAAAACAUGUGCCAGCAGCUGCGGUAAUACAUGUGGUGCAAGCGUUGUUCGGAUUUACUGGGCUUAAAGGGUGCGUAGGCGGCUUUAUAAGUCAGGGGUGAAAGUCGAUGGCCCAACCAUCGAAGUGCCUUUGAUACUGUUGAGCUUGAGUGGGUGAGGGGCAGACGGAACGAGUGGUGUAGCGGUGAAAUGCGUAGAUAUCACUCGGAAGGCCGGAGGCGAAGGCGGUCUGCUGGUACCCAACUGACGCUGAGGCACGAAAGCGUGGGGAUCAAACAGGAUUAGAUACCCCAGUAGUCC